ensembl:lncRNA
CUAGCAGCUGACUGUCAUAUUCUGCUGUGUUCUUUCACCUCACGUAGAUGUUUCUAUUAUAUUGUAGCCUUGAAGGCCACAGUGUCAGCUAUUCAGAAUGAGACUACAGGGAAUGAAGGAAAAUCACAGAAAAAGAGAAAAAGACUAUUAGAUACCUACUAUUCUGUAAAAGCUUGUAUUGUAAAUAGACUGCUCUGUUUGUCUGUGUUAUUUCAGUCCUGGAAGACAGCUUAUCAGUGAGAAGGAAGUGGACCUGCAGAAAGAGAAUGCAGGACCUGAGCCCUAGGACCAUGCCCCAGGACUACCUGACAUGAUGACUCCUUGCUGUCCCCAGUCCACCUGACCGUGCUGCUGCUCCAGUUUCAACUGUUCUGCCUUAUUAUUAUACGACCAUGCUGGUCAUUUAUGAACAUUUGAACAUCUUGGCCAUGUUCUGUUAUAAUCUCCACCCGGCACAGCCAGAAGAGGACUGGCCACCCCACAUAGCCUGGCAUUGCUUGCUGUUUGGGGUUUUAGGCUGGGUUUCUGUACAGCACUUUGAGAUAUCAGCUGUUGUACGAAGGGCUAUAUAAAUACAUUUGAUUUAAUUUGAUUUGAAAUGAAUGAGGAAGUGAAGAAGUUCCACAAGGACGCUGUGUUCCUGGAUUAGAGGUGAGGGAAGAGCACCUCUGUGUUCCAAGUCUCUCCCCGAGUCUCCCCGAGUCUUCCAGAGUCUAUUGGAUCUAAAAACAUUAGUAUAUUCAGCUGCUUUGUUUAACUAAAUUAUGGAAAGCCAGACUGCUUUAUGACUGAGCAAACACCUAUUUUUAAUCCCGAAAAUGUAAUUCAAUAAAAAGCAAUUUAACGAGUCUCUCAUUUUAACCUUGUGUGUGACCCUAA